rnacentral:rRNA from 1 species
UGUGCCAGCAGCCGCGGUAAUACGUAGGGUGCGAGCGUUGUCCGGAUUUACUGGGCGUAAAGGGCUCGUAGGUGGUGUGUCGCGUCGUCUGUGUAAUCCAGGGGCUUAACUUUUGGUUGGCAGGCGAUACGGGCAUUGCUUGAGUGCUGUAAGGGAGACUGGAAUUCCUGGUGUAGCGGUGAAAUGCGCAGAUAUCAGGA